rnacentral:rRNA from 1 species
GGGGAAUAUUGCACAAUGGGGGAAACCCUGAUGCAGCGACGCCGCGUGAAGGAUGAAGUAUUUCGGUAUGUAAACUUCUAUCAGCAGGGAAGAAAAUGACGGUACCUGACUAAGAAGCCCCGGCUAACUACGUGCCAGCAGCCGCGGUAAUACGUAGGGGGCAAGCGUUAUCCGGAAUGAUUGGGCGUAAAGGGUGCGUAGGUGGCACGUUAAGUCUGGAGUAAAAGGGAGCGGCUCAACCGCUGUUGGCUCUGGAAACUGGCGAGCUAGAGUGCAGGAGAGGGCGAUGGAAUUCCAUGUGUAGCGGUAAAAUGCGUAGAUAUAUGGAGGAACACCGGUGGCGAAGGCGGUCGCCUGGCCUGCAACUGACACUGAAGCACGAAAGCGUGGGGAGCAAAUAGGAUUAGAUACCCUAGUAGUCCACGCCGUAAACGAUGAGAACUAAGUGUUGGGGAGACUCAGUGCUGCAGUUAACGCAAUAAGUUCUCCGCCUGGGGAGUAUGCACGCAAGUGUGAAACUCAAAGGAAUUGACGGGGGCCCGCACAAGCGGUGGAGUAUGUGGUUUAAUUCGAAGCAACGCGAAGAACCUUACCAGGUCUUGACAUCCCUUGCGAAGUCAUGGAGACAUGAUGGAGGCUAUCAAGGAGACAGGUGGUGCAUGGUUGUCGUCAGCUCGUGUCGUGAGAUGUUGGGUUAAGUCCCGCAACGAGCGCAACCCUUGUCGCAUGUUACCAAUAUUAAGUUAGGGACUCAUGCGAGACUGCCGGUGACAAACCGGAGGAAGGUGGGGAUGACGUCAAAUCAUCAUGCCCCUUAUGACCUGGGCUACACACGUACUACAAUGGCGGCUACAAAGAGCAGCGAGCAUGUGAGUGCAAGCGAAUCUCGGAAAGGCCGUCCCAGUUCGGAUUGAAGUCUGCAACUCGACUUCAUGAAGUUGGAAUCGCUAGUAAUCGCGAAUCAGCAUGUCGCGGUGAAUACGUUCUCG